AACGUAGGAGGCUAGCGUUAUUCGGAUUUAUUGGGCGUAAAGCGCGUGCAGGCGGUCUAGUAAGUUGGAUGUGAAAGCUCCUGGCUCAACCGGGAGACGUCGUUCAGAACUGCUAGACUAGAGAAUAGGAGAGGGAGGUGGAAUUCCGGGUGUAGUGGUGAAAUGCGUAGAUAUCCGGAGGAACACCAGUGGCGAAAGCGGCCUCCUGGACUAUUUCUGACGCUAAGACGCGAAAGCUAGGGUAG
rnacentral:rRNA from 1 species